CCCGCUCAGAAACUCAAAUGAAUUGACGGGGCCCGCACAAGCAGCGGAGCGUGUGGUUUAAUUCGAUGCUACACGAAGAACCUUACCCGGGUUUGACAUGCAAGUGGUAGUGAUCCGAAAGGUGAACGACCCGCAAGGGAGCUUGCACAGGUGUUGCAUGGCUGUCGUCAGCUCGUGUCGUGAGGUGUUCGGUUAAGUCCGCUAACGAGCGCAACCCUCGCUGUAUGUUACAUGUGUCAUACAGGACCGCCGGUAUCAAGCCGGAGGAAGGUGGGGAUGACGUCAAGUCCGCAUGGCCUUUAUGUCCGGGGCUACACACACGCUACAAUGGUCGGUACAAUGGGUUGCUAAGCCGCGAGGUGGAGCCAAUCCCCCAAAGCCGGCCUCAGUUCAGAUUGCAGGCUGCAACUCGCCUGCAUGAAGCUGGAGUUGCUAGUAAACGCGCGUCAGCUAUAGUGCGUUGAAUACGUUCUCGGGCCUU
rnacentral:rRNA from 1 species